rnacentral:rRNA from 1 species
UCGAACGCGAAAGUCCCCGCAGGGAUUAGUAGAGUGGCAAACGGGUGAGUAACACGUGGGUGACCUGCCUCCGAGUGGGGGAUAACGUCCCGAAAGGGACGCUAAUACCGCAUAACAUCCCGCCUUUUAACAGGUGGAGAUCAAAGCUGGNGAUCGCAAGACCUAGCGCUUGAAGAGGGGCCCGCGCCUGAUUAGCUAGUUGGUGGGGUAAUGGCUCACCAAGGCAACGAUCAGUAUCCGGCCUGAGAGGGCGGACGGACACACUGGGACUGAGACACGGCCCAGACUCCUACGGGAGGCAGCAGUGGGGAAUUGUUCGCAAUGGGCGCAAGCCUGACGACGCAACGCCGCGUGGAGGAUGAAGACCUUCGGGUCGUAAACUCCUUUCGAUCGAGACGAAUGGCCUCCGGGUGAACAAUCCGGAGGAGUGACGGUACCGAGAGAAGAAGCCCCGGCUAACCCCGUGCCAGCAGCCGCGGUAAUACGGGGGGGGCAAGCGUUGUUCGGAAUUACUGGGCGUAAAGGGCUCGUAGGCGGCCAACUAAGUCAGACGUGAAAUCCCUCGGCUUAACCGGGGAACUGCGUCUGAUACUGGAUGGCUUGAAUCCGGGAGAGGGAUGCGGAAUUCCAGGUGUAGCGGUGAAAUGCGUAGAUAUCUGGAGGAACACCGGUGGCGAAAGCGGCAUCCUGGACCGGCAUUGACGCUGAGG